CACACUCUGUCUCUCUCUGUCUCUCAAAAAUAAAUAAAAUGUUACAUAUAUAUAAAAAAAAAAGACUGUGUGGUUGGUUUCAAGACGGAGAGUUAAGACAGAAAGGCUCCUGUCCUCUGUCGCGGGCUCAGCCUGUUUUCUCUCCACCCCCCAAUGCCAUUAGAGGCGUCGUAGAUACCUGAGGAUGGGCUGCCAGGUGCUGACUUUUGAACUUGACCUUGACAAUUUCUAAAUAGGAAAAGCAAAGCCAUACUCUUCAAUCUCUUUGGGAAGAGAUCAGGGUCUUGAACUCACAUUCACUUUUGGACUACGAUAGUACCUGAGAAAUAAUAAAGUGAUCUGCUCAAGAUCGAUUCCCAUUUCACCCUACAUCCAACUCACUUCACAAGGUCAUGGUGACAGUGACAAGAAUGUUCAGCCUGACUGCAUCUCAAUUAGAACCCUACUGGCAUGCCAUAGGCCACCAGUCUGCAGCCCUGGAGAGAGAGCUGUCUACAAUACAGUGGGUGACAGCAACAGUAGCCCGAGCGAGGGGAGCUCCGUCUUCAGAAGCUGAAGUUUGUAAGAAAUGAAUACAUACAGGGCCACUGCCUCAGAGGAUGUACCCUUCAUUUCCUGGAAAGGAGGAA